rnacentral:tRNA from 1 species
GGCCCGUUGGUCAAGUGGUUAACACACCGCCCUUUCACGGCGGUAACACGGGCUCGAAUCCCGUACGGGUCACCG